AGUGGCGCACGGGUGAGUAAUGUAUAGUUAACCUGCCCUCGAGAAAGGAAUAACAGUUGGAAACGACUGCUAAUGCCCUAUAUGCCUUUAAGACAUAAGUCUACAAGGGAAACGCUUUUGUGCUCGAGGAUGGGACUGUAUGGUAUCAGAUAGUUGGUGAGGUAAUGGCUCACCAAGUCAAUGACGCCUAACUGGUUUGAGAGGAUGAUCAGUCACACUGGAACUGAGACACGGUCCAGACUCCUACGGGAGGCAGCAGUGGGGAAUAUUGCACAAUGGAGGAAACUCUGAUGCAGCAACGCCGCGUGGAGGAUGACACUUUUCGGAGCGUAAACUCCUUUUAUAUAGGAAGAUAAUGACGGUACUAUAUGAAUAAGCGCCGGCUAACUCCGUGCCAGCAGCCGCGGUAAUACGGAGGGCGCAAGCGUUACUCGGAAUCACUGGGCGUAAAGAGCGUGUAGGCGGGUUAAUAAGUCAGAAGUGAAAUCCUAUAGCUCAACUAUAGAACUGCUUUUGAAACUGUUAACCUAGAAUAUGGGAGAGGUAGAUGGAAUUUCUGGUGUAGGGGUAAA
rnacentral:rRNA from 1 species